GUUCAAUUACAACCUACAUUUUCGGCAAACAUCUAUGAUUACUCAAGCACAGUUCCUUUCUACUGUAAUUCGGUGACCAUACUGCCCAAAGUUCCUGAUAAAAACAUGAAAGUUUCAGUGAAUGAAGAAAGUGAUUCCCAACCUUCUCCAUUGACUGUUGGAGAAACUGUCGUCAGUAUCAAGGUCUUGUCAGCAGAUGGCAGCAAUUCUCAGAUGUACUAUGUGUUGGUGAUGCGAGAGCAGAUUCCCAUGGCUGUGUCUUUCAGUGAUGUGAAAGAGCAGGUCUCCUAUGAGUGCCCUGUCACUCUGACGGCCCUCUACAGACCCAUAUCCAUCAACCAGAGUGAUCCACAGCACCUGUUCUCAGCCCCCUACAUUGACAUGCUGGCGAGAAGGUCGAAGGUCGACCCGCUAAACGAGUGUCCCCUCGGAGACAGCUGGAAGGUUCUGGAACACGACCUGGAUAAGACCAUGUCUUCUGCGCUGGUCAAGUGCUUCUUUGCAUACCGAGGAUGUGAGAGUGUGGUGAAACUGGCUGAAGUGGGGUCACAUGCACUGGAGUGUCCACACAAACCCUCAACGGACCUGGACCCAAAGGACGUCACUGAGACGAGCUGGUACAAGAAGCAUUUUGCUGCAUCCUCGACCUGCUUGGAGAUAGAAACCAAACACACUUUGGAGGUGCGUAACUGGGAGAAGAGACUACAAAAGGCAAUAGGACAGGAUAGUGUUGAUAAUCUGUGUUCCCUGGCCCAGGACAAUCUGAAACUCUACAGAGAGCGUCUGCCCAAACCAGGUGACCUGCUGCAGUAUGAGAAUGGUCAGUCUCCUCUGGACUGUCUGGAGCAGGCUGCAGUCUAUUAUGCCUCAGCCAUCAAGCUGAAGCCCCGAGACCCCAGACUCCACUUCCUCCUGGGGCUGGCCCUGGAGGAGCAACACUAUGCAGCAGAGAUGUACGGACUGAGGAGGAAAGUAAGGAAGCCUUGGCCAAGUCAGAAAGGCUCCUGCCCUAUGGGCCAAUCUCCUAAUUCUGUAGCGUGAAACAGCUUGAUGUACAGCCCCCUGGACAGGACGCUAGUCUAUCGCAUGGCCAAACCACUUAUUGUUGAAUUUGCGAUUUCCAACUUGUUGUGUAAUGUUUAUAUCCAAUGGCCGAUGACCAUCUAUAAUUUCGCUUCCUUAUUUCUCUAUAUAUGACAAUGAUUAAAAAGGAUUUGCCAGUAGAUUGUCGACUUGAUUCAUGAUGAUGACUGCUAGCUAAGAUUUUGAAAGUAUGAUGUUGACAUGAUCAGUCCAAUCAAAGCUACUGUACAUAUAACGUGAAUUGACAUCAUUUUAUCUGUGGCCAAUGACCUUGAGCCUUCUUGGAUGGGCACUUCUAACUCUAUGGCAGCACCCAAGUGGCUAGAAUUUUCGAGCUCUACCCUUAGACUUAGCGGUGACGUUGUUUCCCCAUGAGUGACAGAACACUGAGCCAAUCACGGCACAACGUUCCGUAUUUUCUGCUGGCUUGCCCCACGACCACAGAAAGCACUGAGCUGGACUGAAACACCUGCAUUUUGGGGUUGCCUUACUCAAGAAAACAAAAAAGAGACCAUGUUUGCAUGGGGCUUCAUUAACUCAAUUAUAUAUAUAUUUUUUACAUUGUUUGCAAAAUGAUGACACGUAUUAAUGCUAAAAUAACAUGCAAAACAGGUAAGCCCCCCCCAAAAAUGUGGGGCUCGAAACAGGCUCUGCCUGCCCUGAAUAACGGGUUGCCACUGACUGAAAGUAAUCAGAUUACACCACUGAGUUUAAUUCAUCCAAACGUUAGGUUACUGAUUACUAUUUUGGACAAGUAACUA
rnacentral:lncRNA from 13 species